rnacentral:tRNA from 1 species
GCCGGCGUAACUCAGUUGGUAGAGUAUCUCACUCGUAAUGAGAAAGUCAGCGGUUCGAAUCCGCUCGCCGGCUCCA